rnacentral:rRNA from 1 species
AUUGAACGCUGGCGGCAGGCCUAACACAUGCAAGUCGAGCGGAGCGGCGGACGGGCGAGUAAUGCCUAGGAAUCUGUCUGGCAGUGGGGGAUAACGACCGGAAACGGGCGCUAACACCGCACACUAUCAGUUGAGCCUGGCUCGGUUUAGUUAGUUGGUGGGGUAAAGGCCUACCAAGGCGACGAUCCGUAACUGGUCUGAGAGGAUGAUCAGUCACACUGGAACUGAGACACGGUCCAGACUCCUACGGGAGGCAGCAGUGGGGAAUAUUGGACAAUGGGCGAAAGCCUGAUCCAGCCAUGCCGCGUGUGUGAAGAAGGUCUUCGGAUUGUAAAGCACUUUAAGUUGGGAGGCGUUACCAACAGAAUAAGCACCGGCUAACUUCGUGCCAGCAGCCGCGGUAAUAC